UACGUAGGGUGCGAGCGUUGUCCGGAAUUAUUGGGCGUAAAGAGCUUGUAGGCGGUUUGUCGCGUCUGCUGUGAAAAUCCGGGGCUCAACCCCGGACUUGCAGUGGGUACGGGCAGACUAGAGUGUGGUAGGGGCAACUGGAAUUCUCGGUGUAGCGGUGAAAUGCGUAGAUAUCGAGAGGAACACCUGCGGCGAAGGCGGGUUGCUGGGCUGACACUGACGCUGAGGCGCGAAAGCUAGGGUAGCAAACGGG
rnacentral:rRNA from 1 species